UAAGAACGUUGUCCAGUAGGCGGGUUAAGACUAGUGUGUCAAGCGUGUGUUGGAAUAGUGGGGCAGAAAGGUGACGGAGGGUGCUGAGUAAGUCAGAUGUGAAAGCCCGGGGCUCAACCUCGGAAUUGCAUCCGGUACUGCCGUGCUAGAGUACUGAAGAGGUGACUAGAAUUCUCGGUGUAGCAGUGAAAUGCGUAGAUAUCGAGAGGAAUACCAACGGCGAAGGCAGGUCACUGGGCAGUUACUGACACUGAGGCACGAAGGCCAGGGGAGCAAACGGGAUUAGAUACCCCUGUAGUC
rnacentral:rRNA from 1 species